UUCUCACCUUCUUCCUAUUCCUUGUCAAUAUACGAUUCGGAGGCUAACCAAAGUCCCCGCGGUGGUUACAUGGAGUCUCGCACGAGAAGUGCUUUUCGGAAGGCAG
rnacentral:rRNA from 1 species